rnacentral:ncRNA from 1 species
AUAAAGUUUAAUUUUGGUUUAAAAUUUUAUUUAAUUUUUUAAUUACAUGUAAAUUUGGGUAAGGAUGGAAAAUUAAUUUAAAUAGUUAGUUUUGUAUAAUUAGUCGCAGUAUAAAGUUUUAAUUAUUUAAGAAAUUAAGAAUUAUGAAUAAAUUUUAGUAUUGACAAAAUUUGUGCCAGCAGUUGCGGUUAUACAAAAAAUGUGAAUAAAAUCUAUUGAUGAGUAAUAAGCUGGUUUGAUUUAAUAAAAAUUAAAUUUAUAAGGUGAAAUUUAAAAUUUAAAUUUAUUAUAAAAAUAUAUGGUGAUGUUAUGAAAUUUAAUUAUUAGACUAGGAUUAGAUACCCUAUUAUUUUAAAUGUAAAUUAUUAUGUCAAGGAAGUAUUAGUUAUGUUCUUGAAAUUUAAAAAAUUUGGCGGUGUUUUAGUCUUUUCAGAGGAACCUGUUCUAUAAUCGAUAGUCCACGAUAGAAUUUACUUAAUUUAAUAGUUUGUAUAUCAUCGUUAUUAAAUAUUUUAUAAGAAUAUAAUGUUUAAGAAUUUUUAUUAAAAAGGAUUUCAGAUCAAGGUGCAGUUUAUAGUUAAGAAGAAAUGGGUUACAAUAAGUUUAUUUAUAUGGAUUUAUAUAUGAAAAGUAUAAUGAAGGUGGAUUUGAAAGUAAUAAAAUUAAAUUUAGUUUUAUGAUUAUAGCUCUAAAAUGUGUACAUAUCGCCCGUCGCUCUUAUUAUAAGAUAAGAUAAGUCGUAACAUAGUAGAUGUACUGGAAAGUGUAUCUAGAAUGA